GAUGAACGCUGGCGGCGUGCCUAACACAUGCAAGUCGAACGGAUUUUUCAUGAAGCCUAGCGAUUGAAAAGUUAGUGGCGGACGGGUGAGUAACGCGUGGGUAACCUGCCUUGUACUGGGGGACAACAGUUGGAAACGACUGCUAAUACCGCAUAAGCGCACAGCUUCGCAUGAAGCAGUGUGAAAAACUCCGGUGGUACAAGAUGGACCCGCGUCUGAUUAGCUGGUUGGUGAGGUAACGGCCCACCAAGGCGACGAUCAGUAGCCGGCCUGAGAGGGUGAACGGCCACAUUGGGACUGAGACACGGCCCAAACUCCUACGGGAGGCAGCAGUGGGGAAUAUUGCACAAUGGGGGAAACCCUGAUGCAGCAACGCCGCGUGAGUGAAGAAGUAUUUCGGUAUGUAAAGCUCUAUCAGCAGGAAAGAAAAUGACGGUACCUGACUAAGAAGCCCCGGCUAACUACGUGCCAGCAGCCGCGGUAAUACGUAGGGGGCAAGCGUUAUCCGGAUUUACUGGGUGUAAAGGGAGCGUAGACGGUUUUGCAAGUCUGAAGUGAAAGCCCGGGGCUUAACCCCGGGACUGCUUUGGAAACUGUAGAACUAGAGUGCAGGAGAGGUAAGUGGAAUUCCUAGUGUAGCGGUGAAAUGCGUAGAUAUUAGGAGGAACACCAGUGGCGAAGGCGGCUUACUGGACUGUAACUGACGUUGAGGCUCGAAAGCGUGGGGAGCAAACAGGAUUAGAUACCCUGGUAGUCCACGCCGUAAACGAUGAUUAAAAGGUGUUGGUGGGUACGACCCAUCGGUCCGCAGCAAACGCAAUAA
rnacentral:rRNA from 1 species